GCGGAUCAUUGUGCGGUCGCAGGCCGGGCUCGCCCAUCCCGGUGCGCCGGAGCCCCCGGGCUGGGCCAGUGUGCCGAGCCAGAGCCCGUGUGCGCUCGGGCACGCACACACGCACGCACACUCACGUGCUUCCGCUCACGCGGGGCUCGGGGCCAAGGAGUCCUUGAAAAGGUCACAGGUGUGGUGAGCCCCGCGCCGAGGGCUCAGGGGCUUUCUUUGCUGGCACAGAGGUCGACUUCAGAAAGAAGGGGCUUUGGAGUGACAAGCUCCGUAUCUUGUAAUGGAAAGAACGAGUGAUAGUUGUUCAAAGCCAUCAGUUCAUAAGAAGAGGUGAAGCCUGAGGAACUCGGCCCCUGAUCCCCUCAGGGGAAGGCUCACACUGGGCCAGAUAGAAACACCUGGUCCCCUGUACUUCAUCUCAGCAGGCUGAACAGACAAGAAAGUACCUGCCUAUUUCUGAGCCAUGAGGAUAAAGAGGAAAAUGUUAAAGGUCCAGGCAAUUACGUCAACUUAUCUGAAAAGAGAGAAGAAUCAGGUUCGGAUCUCACGGGUUGUGGGAUUGAGCCCCACAUGGGCUCCGCGCUCACCAGGGAGUCUGCUUCAGAUUCUCUCCUUCUACCCUUCCCCACACUUGCACUCUCUGUCUCUCUCUCUCUAACACAGA